GACACUGAAGGAAAAUGUGAAAGAAAAAACCCUAAACCAAGUGUGGACACUGAAGAAAAAUAUGAAGAAAAAAAACCCCAAACAAAUGUGGACACUGAA